rnacentral:rRNA from 1 species
AGUGAACGCUGGCGGCAGGCCUAACACAUGCAAGUCGAACGGCAGCACACUAUGAGCUUGCGCUUACUGGUGGAGGGUGGAGGAAGAGAGCGGAAUACGUCCGAACCUACUGGUUAGCGGGGGAUAACGUAGGGAAACUUACGCUACUACCGCCUACGGCCUGCGGGUGAAAGCAGGGGAUCUUCGGACCUUGCGCGAUUGAGUGAGCUGAUGUCGGAUUAGCUAGUUGGCGGGGUAAAGGCCCACCAAGGCGACGAUCCGUAGCUGGUCUGAGAGGAUGAUCAGCCACACUGGGACUGAGACACGGCCCAGACUCCUACGGGAGGCAGCAGUGGGGAAUAUUGGACAAUGGGCGCAAGCCUGAUCCAGCCAUGCCGCGUGGGUGAAGAAGGCCUUCGGGUUGUAAACUGCUUUUGUUGGGAAAGAAAAGCAGCAGUUUAAUACCGCGCUGUUCUGACGGUACCGAAAGAAUAAGCACCGGCUAACUACGUG